rnacentral:rRNA from 1 species
AUUGAACGCUGGCGGCAGGCCUAACACAUGCAAGUCGAACGGUAGCACAGAGGAGCUUGCUCCUUGGGUGACGAGUGGCGGACGGGUGAGUAAUGUCUGGGAAACUGCCUGAUGGAGGGGGAUAACUACUGGAAACGGUAGCUAAUACCGCAUAACGUCGCAAGACCAAAGAGGGGGACCUUCGGGCCUCUUGCCAUCAGAUGUGCCCAGAUGGGAUUAGCUAGUAGGUGGGGUAAUGGCUCACCUAGGCGACGAUCCCUAGCUGGUCUGAGAGGAUGACCAGCCACACUGGAACUGAGACACGGUCCAGACUCCUAAGGGAGGCAGCAGUGGGGAAUAUUGCACAAUGGGCGCAAGCCUGAUGCAGCCAUGCCGCGUGUAUGAAGAAGGCCUUCGGGUUGUAAAGUACUUUCAGCGGGGAGGAAGGCGAUACGGUUAAUAACCGUGUCGAUUGACGUUACCCGCAGAAGAAGCACCGGCUAACUCCGUGCCAGCCGCCGCAGUAA